ACUCCUACGGGAGGCAGCAGUGGGGAAUUUUGGACAAUGGGGGCAACCCUGAUCCAGCAAUGCCGCGUGAGUGAUGAAGGCCUUAGGGUUGUAAAGCUCCUUUACCCGCGACGAUGAUGACGGUAGCGGGAGAAUAAGCCCCGGCUAACUUCGUGCCAGCAGCCGCGGUAAUACGAAGGUGGCAAGCGUUGUUCGGAUUUACUGGGCGUAAAGGGAGCGUAGGUGGUUAGGUAAGCCCUCCGGGAAAUCUUCAGGCUUAACCUGAAAAGGUCGGGGGGGACUGCCUGGCUAGAGGACGGGAGAGGAGCGCGGAAUUCCCGGUGUAGCGGUGAAAUGCGUAGAGAUCGGGAGGAAGGCCGGUGGCGAAGGCGGCGCUCUGGAACGUUUCUGACACUGAGGCUCGAAAGCGUGGGGAGCAAACAGGAUUAGAUACCCUGGUAGUCCACGCCGUAAACGAUGACUGCUUGGUGUGACGGGUACCCAAUCCCGCCGUGCCGUAGCUAACGCGUUAAGCAGUCCGCCUGGGGAGUACGGUCGCAAGGCUGAAACUUAAAGGAAUUGACG
rnacentral:rRNA from 1 species